UGAGGAGGUGGAAGCCUUCCUGGGGCUGCUGAUAAAUACAACAUGGAGCAAAGUGUAAAUGACCACUGAGGGGAUCUACAGAGGGGAGAGGAGCUAGCUGAGGUGCCUGAUCCAAUGGGAUGGCAAGGAGAGGCUGAAACAAAGGAAAAGGAUUACUGGAAUUGAGGGUCACCAUAUGACAGUCAGCUGCUUUUCCUCCCGUGUUCUUGGAAGGCAGAAUUGAGCAAUGUGUAGAAAUGAUGUAAAGGAAGUUUAGCUGCUCCAUAUAAAGGAGGGAUGUCAUCUAUUUCUGUCUGAAACAUAAAGAUAUCAAGGUCCAAAAUGUGGUGCUUUGAAGAAUGUUGUUUGAAAUCCAGUGCCACUUCCUCCUCAAAGCAAGCAGCAGUAACAUUUGACAAGUUUUAUUUUAAUUAUAGACUGAGCCUCAAGGCUGGAGUCUGAGUUUAUCAUUUCAGUCAGUUACAGCAUGAGGCCAGUGGUUUUGUGGCAAUGGUGUUACAGUUUAGGUCAAGUGCAACAUCCUGUUCAGGAUCUUCAGUUGCUCCUUUUAUUAAAUUAUCAUUUGAAGUGAA